AGCGAGACGUGGGAGGAGCCGCGAGGUCACCAGACCAUCUCCCGGCGCGGGUGGAAUUCCCGCGAUCGGUUUCAUUCCCUGCGCCGCCGAGAAAAGUGAGAUCCCGCGAGACUCCCAGGGUCUGGUCUCUCAAGAGCGCUGGAAACAUGGAGUCUGUCUCUGUUGCCCAAGCUGGAGUGUGUUGGCACCAUCUUGGUUUACUGCAACUUCCACCUCCCAGGCUCAAGUGAUUCUCGUGCCUCAGCCUCAAGGGCUGGAGUGCAGUGGCAUGAUCUCACCUCACUGAAAACCUCCACCUCCAGGGUUCAAGUGAUUCUGCUACCUCAGCCUCCCAAAUAGCUGGGACUAUAGGUGUGUGCCACCUUGCCCGCUAAUUUUUGUAUUUUUAGUAGAGACGGGGUUUCACCAUGCUAGCCAGGCUGGUCUCGAACUCCUGACCUCAGGUGAUCUACCCACCUCAGCCUUCCAAAGUGCUAGGUUUACAGGCAUGAGCCACCACACCUGGCCUGAGUUUCUUAUAUACUUUGGAUGUUAACCUCUUAUCAGAUAUGUGGUUUACAAAUAUUUUCUUCCAUUCCUUUGGUUGUCUCUUCACUCUGUUGAUUGUUUUUUUUUUUCCCGUGCAGAAGCUAUUUAGUUUGAUGUAAUUCCAUUUAUAUAUUUUUGUAACCUGUGCUUUUGGGGUCAUAUCCAAAAAACCCUUGCUAAUAUC
rnacentral:lncRNA from 1 species